rnacentral:lncRNA from 1 species
GUAUCUUUUGCUAAAAGCGACCAACAAAGAAACAUUUUUCUACCCAGAACUACGUAAGCCUUGAGUUCUCUAUUGCACCUGGAGAUACGUAGGAGUAGGAUUCGUAAAUCUUGUCAGGCCCGUUAAUAAAAAACUUAGGUUUAGUCCUCCUUCAUUGAAAAUCCCAAAACUUUCAUCUCUCUUCCAUUCUUUCUUUCCCACCUAAUAACUUGAAAAUCC